UGAGCAAUCUGCCCUUCUCUUUGGAAUAAGCGUUGGAAACGACGUCUAAUGCCGAAUACGACCUCCUUUCGCAUGAUCGGAGGUGGAAAGCUCCGGCGGAGAAGGAUGAGCUCGCGGCCUAUCAGCUAGUUGGUGUGGGUAAUGGCCCACCAAGGCGACGACGGGUANCUGGUCUGAGAGGAUGGCCAGCCACACGUGGGACUGAGACACGGCCCAGACCU
rnacentral:rRNA from 1 species